CGGACGGGUGAGUAAUGCCUGGGAAAUUGCCCUGAUGUGGGGGAUAACCAUUGGAAACGAUGGCUAAUACCGCAUGAUAGCUUCGGCUCAAAGAGGGGGACCUUCGGGCCUCUCGCGUCAGGAUAUGCCCAGGUGGGAUUAGCUAGUUGGUGAGGUAAGGGCUCACCAAGGCGACGAUCCCUAGCUGGUCUGAGAGGAUGAUCAGCCACACUGGAACUGAGACACGGUCCAGACUCCUACGGGAGGCAGCAGUGGGGAAUAUUGCACAAUGGGCGCAAGCCUGAUGCAGCCAUGCCGCGUGUAUGAAGAAGGCCUUCGGGUUGUAAAGUACUUUCAGCAGUGAGGAAGGAGGUAUCGUUAAUAGCGGUAUCUUUUGACGUUAGCUACAGAAGAAGCACCGGCUAACUCCGUGCCAGCAGCCGCGGUAAUACGGAGGGUGCGAGCGUUAAUCGGAAUUACUGGGCGUAAAGCGCAUGCAGGUGGUUUGUUAAGUCAGAUGUGAAAGCCCCGGGCUCAACCUGGGAAU
rnacentral:rRNA from 1 species